CCUACGGGAGGCAGCAGUAGGGAAUAUUGCUCAAUGGGGGAAACCCUGAAGCAGCAACGCCGCGUGGAGGAUGAAGGUUUUCGGAUUGUAAACUCCUUUUGUUAGAGAAGAUAAUGACGGUAUCUAACGAAUAAGCACCGGCUAACUCCGUGCCAGCAGCCGCGGUAAUACGGCGGGAGCAAGCGUUACUCGGAAUCACUGGGCGUAAAGCGCUCGUAGGCGGUAUGUCAAGUCAAGGGUGAAAUCCCCGCGCCAAACGUGGGAACUGCCGUUGAAACUGGCAAACUGGAGUGGGUGAGAGGAAAGUGGAAUGCCAGGUGUAGGAGUGAAAUCCGUAGAUAUCGGGAGGAACAUCAGUGGCGAAGGCGACUAUCUGGCACAUAACUGACGCUGAGGAGCGAAAGCGUGGGUAGCAAACAGGAUUAGAUACCCCGGUAGUC
rnacentral:rRNA from 1 species